AUUGAACGCUGGCGGCAUGCCUUACACAUGCAAGUCGAACGGUAACGGGCCUUCGGGUGCCGACGAGUGGCGCACGGGUGAGUAAUACAUCGGAACGUGCCCGAUCGUGGGGGAUAACGAGGCGAAAGCUUUGCUAAUACCGCAUACGAUCUACGGAUGAAAGCAGGGGACCGCAAGGCCUUGCGCGGACGGAGCGGCCGAUGGCAGAUUAGGUAGUUGGUGGGAUAAAAGCGUACCAAGCCGACGAUCUGUAGCUGGUCUGAGAGGAUGAUCAGCCACACUGGGACUGAGACACGGCCCAGACUCCUACGGGAGGCAGCAGUGGGGAAUUUUGGACAAUGGGCGCAAGCCUGAUCCAGCCAUGCCGCGUGCAGGAUGAAGGCCUUCGGGUUGUAAACUGCUUUUGUACGGAACGAAAAGCCUUCUUUUAAUACAGGAGGGUCAUGACGGUACCGUAAGAAUAAGCACCGGCUAACUACGUG
rnacentral:rRNA from 1 species